rnacentral:tRNA from 1 species
CUUUGGUGCAGUAGGUAGUGUAUCAGUCUUACAAGCUGAAGAUCCCGAGUUCAAUCCUCAGAAG